AGGCAGCUUUAAGUGCCCUGAAACAGUUUUCUGAACAAGGACUGGAAUCAAUCGAUGGGACAGUGGAUGUUGAGAAAGGUUCUCUUGAAAAACAAGCCAAGCACCGACGAGAGAAAGCCGACAAUAACCAGGCGAACCCGGGCUCCAUCACUCAGGACUGCAAGAAAUCAAAGUCGGCCAUCUAGCAGCUCCCAGAACCCACGGCUGCCACCGUGUCCUUAUAAACCUGUCAGCACGCAUGAGGGUGUCUGUGUUCAAGGAAAUGAAUGACUAAUACCAUUGUCUAGAGUCUUAUGUGAAGACAACACUAUUCUAACACAAGAGAUAAUGUACAUGGUACUGUUUAUCCAACUGGGGGAAAAAUAAAACUCUGAGCAUUUCCCUUGGAACUUGAGAUCAGAUCAUAACUCGUUUGCCCAGAGGCAGCAGAAAUCUGAUCCCACUACUGGAGCUUAAAAAUAACAAUUAAUGAAAAGUGUUAGAAACAAAGCUAAAGUUUAAAAAUGAUUCCUAGCGAAGUUGGGUUUGGUUCUGUCCUUACGAUUGUUUUGUCGUGGCGAUUGUGUCGUUAUACUCUCUCUUGUUUGAAAUAAUGCUUGACAAUUCAGAAAUUAACCAAUGAUGUGCUGUGGAAUGUGAUGGUUGUCUUCAUAUAGUCGCACAGUUUCCCUUUUUAUGCAAAUAUUUGUAAUCUUCAUCUUGCACACACACAUGCAAAUUACUUUAAGGUGCAUUGCACAAAGAUGUAUGCAAAUAACUGUGUUUUAAAUCAGGUCAGAGAUAAUUGAUUUAAAAUAUAAAAUAAUACUAGGAACAAGUAGUUUCCACGUCUUUCAGGACUUUUAAAAAGACAAAAUGAAACAAAACCGAGCAGUUGUGGGUUUUGUGCUACAUGACGCCAUUAGCCAUCGAGGGGGCGUCUUGCCUCUGCCCAUCUACUCUGUCGUGGAAAUUGUGCCCACCCCCAUCCGUGUGUUGUAAUCACUCACUGUUUGCAUCGAGUGUCUUUAGUAACUGCCUCUGGACUCGGGACAGUGAGUAGGAUCAAAAUAAAUACUGUACAUGGUGGGGAAGGGAAAGCCUGUUGGAGAAGUGUCUAGCUAACCACGCUCUGGACCAGCAUGUUGGAAUCCAUCGUGGGGCAAAUGCAGUAAAGAUUUGAUCAGUUUCUGUACGAA